UGCUCAUUUUUUAAUCAGGUUAUUUGUUUUCUUGCUCUUUAGUGCUUUAUAUAUUUGGGCAUUAACUCCUUAUCAGAAGUGUAGCUUAUAAAUAUUUUGUUCCAAUCGGUAGGCUGUCUAUUCACUCUAAUAAUGGUUUCCUUUUCUGUGCAGAAGCUUUUCAGCUUGACGUAAUCUCAUUUGCCUAUUUUUUCUUUUGUUGUCUGAGCUUUUGCAGUUAAAUCCAAAAAGUAGUCAAUGAUCAGACUAAUGUAAAUUUCCCCCUAUUUUUUUUUUCUAGUAGUUUUACAGUUCUAUUUCUUAUGUUUAAGUCUUUCAUCGAUUUCAAGUUGAGUUUUGUAUAUGGUAUGAGAUGAAGGUCCAAAUCUAUUUUUCUGGAGGUAAAUAUCCAGUUUUUUCAAUAUACUUUGUUGAAGAGACUGCCUUUUUUUCCAUUGCAUGUUUUUGGCAUCUUUGCUGUAAAUUAAUAGACAUAAAAGCAUGGGGUAAUAUUUGGGUUCUCUGUUCUCGUCUAUUCAUUGAUGUGUCUAUUUUAUGCUAGUACCAUGCUGUUCUAAUUGCUAUAGCUUGGUAAUAUAGUAUGAAAUCAGGUAGUAUGAUGUUUCCAGCUUUGUUCUUUUUGCUUAAGAUUCUCUUUUUUUGGUGAUU